UACGUAGGGUGCAAGCGUUGUCCGGAAUUAUUGGGCGUAAAGAGCUUGUAGGCGGUUUGUCGCGUCUGCUGUGAAAUUUCGGGGCUCAACCCCGAACUUGCAGUGGGUACAGGCAGACUAGAGUGUGGUAGGGGAGACUGGAAUUCCUGGUGUAGCGGUGAAAUGCGUAGAUAUGCGGAGGAACACCGAUGGCGAAGGCAAUCCCCUGGACCUGUACUGACGCUCAUGCACGAAAGCGUGGGGAGCAACAGG
rnacentral:rRNA from 1 species